rnacentral:rRNA from 1 species
AGUGAACGCUGGCGGUAGGCCUAACACAUGCAAGUCGAACGGCAGCACAGUAAGAGCUUGCUCUUACGGGUGGCGAGUGGCGGACGGGUGAGGAAUACAUCGGAAUCUACUUUUUCGUGGGGGAUAACGUAGGGAAACUUACGCUAAUACCGCAUACGACCUACGGGUGAAAGCAGGGGAUCUUCGGACCUUGCGCGAUUGAAUGAGCCGAUGUCGGAUUAGCUAGUUGGCGGGGUAAAGGCCCACCAAGGCGACGAUCCGUAGCUGGUCUGAGAGGAUGACAGGCCCCACUGGAACGGAGAACCGGCCCAGAAUCCUACGGGGGGAAGCAUGGGGGAAUUUUGGCAAAUGGGCGCAAGCCUGAUCCAGCCAUACCGGGGGGGUGAAGAAGGCCUUCGGGUUGUAAAGCCCUUUUGUUGGGAAAAAAAAGCAGCAGGUUAAUACCCCGCUGUUCUGACGGUACCCAAAGAAUAAGCACCGGCUGACUUCGU